rnacentral:rRNA from 1 species
GACGAACGCUGGCGGCGUGCUUAACACAUGCAAGUCGAACGAUGAAGCCCUUCGGGGUGGAUUAGUGGCGAACGGGUGAGUAACACGUGGGCAAUCUGCCCUUCACUCUGGGACAAGCCCUGGAAACGGGGUCUAAUACCGGAUAACACUCUGUCCCGCAUGGGACGGGGUUAAAAGCUCCGGCGGUGAAGGAUGAGCCCGCGGCCUAUCAGCUUGUUGGUGGGGUGAUGGCCUACCGAGGCGACGACGGGUAGCCGGCCUGAGAGGGCGACCGGCCACACUGGACUGAGACACGGCCCAGACUCCUACGGGAGGCAGCAGUGGGGAAUAUUGCACAAUGGGCGAAAGCCUGAUGCAGCGACGCCGCGUGAGGGAUGACGGCCUUC